UCACCUUCAUGAGACUGUAUUUCUGUGUUUGUCUCCAUAGCAAUGCGAUUCGCAGUCUGAUAUAUUUAGAAGAAAUUAGCCUAAAAUAUUCAUGAGGUCUAGAUACAUUAUUUCGUUAAUAGGGAUAGAAUGGUGCUGGUAAUCCGUUGAUGAGCAUAACAUGAGGACGUAAGUGAGUGAAUUUAGUUGGGAUUGGAUGGGUGAGCGUGUGUGUGAGUGUGAGAGAAUCUGUGUAGUUCGUGGAGCGGGAUACCUCGGACGUUCACAUAAAGGAGACUGUGUAUGAGACUGUAGUUCACUAACUAAAAUGCUGGCGAUAUUACCAGUCUGACUUCUUGUCAUGCAAUGAUUGUUCAAUUAAAGGUCUGUGACAUGCUACUCCUUAGUUUCUUGUAAAAUCUUACUCAUGUCCAAGAGCAUUUUAAUCUCGUUCCUCUUUCAAACUUUAUUCGAAAGUCACAGGACAUGCCGGAAGCCGGAUCGGGCAGCUUACACUAAAUUAAGGAUGAUCCUCAUUGGACAUGUGUAUGAAAUCUUAGCAAGAGGAAACGAAACAUUGUCUACCCGUUAAGAUGAUUACUUCUCACAAGGAAACAAGUUUAUCUUAUUAUUUCUUGGCCUCUACAGGAAUUGAAGCUUCAGUCUGCAAUUUGUCAUUCUCGAGAAGGCAAUUCUAACAAUGAAUAAUGUGUACAUGUACAUCAUAAUGUUUGUUGUUCUGUGGGAGGCCGUAACAUCGACAGAAAAUUGUGCUAGUGUAGAAAUUCAUGGCAAUUUCUCAAACAAGAGAAUUCUGCUAGUUGAAGAGGAUGUUGAUGUGAACGUGACAUUUUAUGUGAACACUGAGACAUGUCCUGACACCAAUGGAUCUUGGCUUUUAAAGAUGAUGUCAGAUGAAGAGGGAAAGCAUGCUGUAGAAUGCAGGAUUGUCAUCGUAAACAGAACAUGUCAAGACAGACAACUUCUUCAAGCAUGCUAUUGCUUACACCCUCGGAAACUUUUUGUGCAGUUUGAAAGAUCGUUUAAUCAGGUUGAUUAUAAAAUCUUCUACUGGACUAGCUCACAGUACACGGAGAAGUUGGGGGAAGUCGUCUUCUUGAUCCGCAAGUCAGUAACGAUGAAUGAUUGCAAUGGUGUUAAGCUGGAGGUCGUUGAAGAUUUUGCCAAAAACGGGAUUGUUGUAGUCGAACAGAAUGAUAAUGUCAGUCUUACAUUUGAUGUCAACACUGACGCUUGUCAGAACAUACAGAAGCUGACAUUGUCAACACGUGAAAGAGAUUCACUAGUCGAUGUAUGCAAGAUUAUUUUCACAAACGGGACAUGCCAACAAUUCACGGUAGAACAACCAUGUUCCUGUGUGAACAGUACCAAGCAUCGUGUUCACUUUCACCAGUCGAUCACUGGGGUGGAUUAUAAAAUCUACAACUGGACUGCAACGUCGGAUACUUCCUUUCGACAAAAGCUAAUGGAAAUUAUCUUUGUCAUUCGAACACCCGCAAUGUUGACCAACUGUACGCAGAUUUUGAACAAAACGGAAGAAGAGUUCCAGUCCAGGCCCGUGUGCUCGUGCUCAUGUGACGGUCUGACUCUCAUCAUCGUUCUGGGCUCGUGUGUAGUCGUUGUUGUCACCAUCAGUGUCAUCUGCAUCGUCAAACUCCGAAGAAAGACUCGAGAUCUUUAUGAAGCUCUUCGAAAAGUAAGUACACAUUGAUGUCUUUUUAUUUGUUUCCAAAAUUUAUCUCUAGUGCCAAGAGACAUUUCAAUGUAGUAAAAAUGUGUCCGGUGAUAUCGUUUUCAGUAAAUACAAAGGCGUAACCUUUCUGCUUUUGAGUACUGCCAACAUGUCACAACAUGUAUUUGAUGUUUGAAGCAACAAGAUAAGACUUGACACAAGCUCAGCAAUAGUUUUCAUUGAGACAGAUGCUUAUCAGAUGCAGGUUUAAUUAAGACGUGUCUCCUCUUAGGUUUAACCCAGGGAGUUUCUUGGUCAGCCCUUUCAUGGCACCUUACUCGGUGUAGUGCUGGCCACCAGUUUCAAUGAUUACUUCGGCAAAUGUCUUUUCCAUUUACCAGGUAACCUAGCGCUGCCCUUUGAUGCGGAGAUGUGCUAUAAAUCUCAUCGUAACCACCCAAUGGCUUGAAGGAAACAAGACUAACGACACGGUCACAGCGUCUUGUACAUCAUCUUUUGUUAUUAUCCUAUUUUCAUCAUUUAACAAGUCUGCAAGAGCGGAAACCAGUCUUCUAUUGAGCAUAGAGAGUUGACUAAAAUGUAAUGAAUGGGUUAGGUAUAAGUCACCAACAUAUUAAAUUAAAUGUAUCAUACAGCUGUAUAUGUAGAAUCAAUCCAGCACUAUUAAAGUAUGAAGUGUUACAUUGGUUAUUUUGUUUAAUUAACGUUUGUUUUUAUUCAAAGGCCAUUACCUCACACUGAUUGUCUGACUGUUAUUUCUUAGUAUUUGCGGGUGCAAAUUCCACUUCACCUAAAUAUUACCUAUUACAUCAAGAACGUAAAACACACUUCCUACACCGACAGCAAACUCAUACACACCUACUAAAUCUGUAUGCCAUGCCAUCGUCUUACUUUUGUAAGGUACAUCAUUCUUAUUCUUCAUCAAUAUUAGUGACUCAUAUCAUUAGUGUAGUCAGAAAUUUAAAUAUGAAAGUAGUAAAUAGUGAAAAACACACACAUUAUUAUGCCAUACUAACACUCCUUUGUUUUGUCAUCAUGUUGUAUCAUUCAUUUUCUAUUUUAAAAGCUAGUUAGUAUCGAAAUUGUAUUGCUUUUGAUAAGACAGAUAUACCCAUUAGAUGCUUCUAACACAGUGGUUCUUAACCUUGUUUGAGGUAGCGAACCCACACGUUUCAUAUGCACAUUCACUGAACCCUUCUUUAGUUUCAUCACGAAUCCGGGUGUGUCUUGACCUCCGUGGCGGAGGCUACGCCAAACCCUUGAAACCGACUCACCGAACCCCAAGGGUUCGAUCAAACCCCGGUUAAGAACCACUGUUUUAACACAUUCAUACCUGAUAGUGAGAUAAACCGCAGAGACCAUGCAACACAGACGCACAAACUUUAUAAUGCAGUAGCCUUUUCUGUGGUAAAUAAAAUAAAAUGUGGUUGAAACGUUACUCCAAGAUGAAUUGUGAGUUGUUUGUUCUAGACUCCGCCAUCAACAUCCUGGAUGCGCUUACCGAUAAUUUUUAAUAUUUCUGUGUAUAUCUGAGUGUGAGAUCUGCUUUG
rnacentral:misc_RNA from 1 species